rnacentral:rRNA from 1 species
UACGAAGGGGGCUAGCGUUGUUCGGAAUCACUGGGCGUAAAGCGCACGUAGGCGGAUUGUUAAGUCGGGGGUGAAAUCCUGAGGCUCAACCUCAGAACUGCCUUCGAUACUGGCAAUCUCGAGUCCGGAAGAGGUUGGUGGAACAGCUAGUGUAGAGGUGAAAUUCGUAGAUAUUAGCUAGAACACCAGUGGCGAAGGCGGCCAACUGGCCCGGUACUGACGCUGAGGUGCGAAAGCGUGGGGAGCAAACAGG